rnacentral:misc_RNA from 1 species
GAGGAUGAAAGUGUUGAGGACUUUGAUGGGAAAUCUAGUGAAGUUCUUUAGAUUAUGACUAUGAAUUUUGAAUGCUAAAAACUUUGAAUGUUUGAUAAUUUCUUAAGGGUUUAAAUUUUUUUAUAGAGAAUUGUAUUUUAUUAUUAGUUAAUUUUUUAAUGAUUUUGUGCUUCCUUUUACGAAGCAAGUGCUUUUCUUGCGCUUUGCGCUUUAAGCGAUGGGGUUAAAGUCAUUUUUGUGGAAUUUUGGUUUCUUAAGGAUUAAGUUUAGAAUUUUGGUUGUUUUAGCUACAUCAUAUAGCUAGCGAAAUGAGGAUAGCACCAGCCUAUUAUGUGGAAGGGGGUAAAUGUGACUGUGUUGCUGGCUGUUGUGUAAAAUUCAUUUUUACUUGUGGAGGUACUGAAACUUAUUACUAGGUCAAGAGAAUUUAGCUAUGGUUGUUAAAACUUAAAAAUCACAUCUUGCCUGACUUCUCUAAAAUUUUGGAACGAUUGUACUGAUGUUGAGACAAACGAAAAAUGCUUUUUACCAUGUCAUACUGACUCCGCAUCCAAAUUAUUGAUUCAUGGUUGCUAAUUGUGUUAUGCUGUAUUGGUUUCAUAGUUUUCUUGUUAGAUGCAAAGCUCUAGAUUCGACAAUAAUUACACGUUUCUAUGCUAAUUGAACGCAGGCUUAUCCAAAUCAUUGUUUAAUUAGAAGCUACUUAUAACGUUAUACAUGUAUAGGUUUAUUCCUAGCAUGCGAAGAAGCGUGGCUAAAUUUUUAUUGUUUCUUUUGUAGAGCUAAUGCACAACAGCCAAAGCUUUUUGUUGGCAUGAUUCUCAUUUUAAUCUUUGCUGAGGCACUGGCUUUGUAUGGACUCAUUGUUGGCAUCAUCCUUUCUUCCCGAGCUGGCCAAUCCAGAGCUGACUAGAAUAACUGGUUGUUGGCAUCACUGGUUACUCUUACAUUGCUGCUGCUAGUAAAGAGCGUGCAGGUGUUUUAUCAAGUAAUUUGUCAUGCAUGUGAUUUCUUUCAAAUAUAUAUUAGUUGACCCUUCAAAUAAAGCUUCUCAUGCUUCUUAACAUUUUUGUUGUAUUCUUCAGAUAUUAGUUCAAUCUUGGAAAGCUAGUGUGCACAUUAUUUGGUUAUCCAUUCCAAACUUGUGUCCUUUUGUUUUAUGAUCAUCUGCUAGUGCGCUAUUUUGGAUUUCAAUAUUAUUCUGGCUUCAUACAAGCACAUUGUCAUCUCAUUGAUAAGAAAUGCAAACAGUCCCAAAUGUAUAAGUACUGUGAGUUGAAUAAUGAUUUGACUGUUGCUCGAUAAUAAUUAUCUUGGAAGUUUCUUCCUAGAUAGAUGCCCCUUUUAUUACUAAGAAAUAUUUGCUGCUUGCGGAUAUUCUUUUUCUCUCAUUAUGUUCUGUAGUUUUCCAUUUUGCCUUGCGUUAUUUGGGACCUGUUUGAAUUUCCGAGGAGCGAAUGAUGCCAGAAGAUGUAGAAUUGCAUAUGAUUUGGUUACACAAUGCUAGAAAUUGACAGCACAUGAACUCCAGUUCUGAGUAUGGUUAUUUUUGUUUUACUGUACAAAGCAAUAUGUUACCGUUAUCAAUAUGAUGUCUUGUGGAGCUAUUUUCUGGCCAUUAAUCCACGGAUGUUCAUUGUUUAACGAAAAUGAUAGAUCAUAUGUAUUGAUGCAAAAGUUGAACUGUUCAAUACCACUUUUCAUG